rnacentral:rRNA from 1 species
GAUGAACGCUGGCGGCGUGCCUAAUACAUGCAAGUCGAGCGAAUGGAUUAAGAGCUUGCUCUUAUGAAGUUAGCGGCGGACGGGUGAGUAACACGUGGGUAACCUGCCCAUAAGACUGGGAUAACUCCGGGAAACCGGGGCUAAUACCGGAUAACAUUUUGAACCGCAUGGUUCGAAAUUGAAAGGCGACUUAGGCUGUCACUUAUGGAUGGACCCGCGUCGCAUUAGCUAGUUGGUGAGGUAACGGCUCACCAAGGCAACGAUGCGUAGCCGACCUGAGAGGGUGAUCGGCCACACUGGGACUGAGACACGGCCCAGACUCCUACGGGAGGCAGCAGUAGGGAAUCUUCCGCAAUGGACGAAAGUCUGACGGAGCAACGCCGCGUGAGUGAUGAAGGCUUUCGGGUCGUAAAACUCUGUUGUUAGGGAAGAACAAGUGCUAGUUGAAUAAGCUGGCACCUUGACGGUACCUACCAGAAAGCCACGGCUAACUACGUGCCAGCCGCCGCCGUAA